GAUGAACGCUGGCGGCGUGCCUAAUACAUGCAAGUCGAGCGAACAGAUGAGAAGCUUGCUUCUCUGAUGUUAGCGGCGGACGGGUGAGUAACACGUGGGUAACCUACCUAUAAGACUGGGAUAACUCCGGGAAACCGGGGCUAAUACCGGAUAAUAUUUUGAACCGCAUGGUUCAAUAGUGAAAGACGGUUUCGGCUGUCACUUAUAGAUGGACCCGCGCCGGAUUAGCUAGUUGGUAAGGUAACGGCUUACCAAGGCGACGAUACGUAGCCUACCUGAGAGGGUGAUCUGCCACACUGGAAGUGAGACACGGUCCAGACUCCGACGGGAGGCAGCAGUAGGGACUCUUCCGCAAUGAGCGAAAGCCUGACGGAGCAACGCCGCGUGAGUGAUGAAGGUCUUCGGAUCGUAAAACUCUGUUGUUAGGGAAGAACAAAUUUGUUAGUAACUGAACAAGUCUUGACGGUACCUAACCAGAAAGCCACGGCUAACUACGUGCCAGCCGCCGCCGUAA
rnacentral:rRNA from 1 species